AACGAACGCUGGCGGCGUGGAUAAGACAUGCAAGUCGAACGGAUUCGUUGUCGUAGCAAUACGAUGGCGGGUCAGUGGCGCAAGGGUGCGUAACACGUGGGCAAUCUGCCCUGGAGUUUGGGAUAGCCCGCCGAAAGGCGGAUUAAUACCGGAUGUGGCUACCUGCCGAUUGGUGGGGACGCUAAAGGUGGCGCAAGCUGCCGCUCCUGGAUGGGCCCGCGGCCUAUCAGCUUGUUGGUGAGGUAACGGCUCACCAAGGCUAUGACGGGUAGCUGGUCUGAGAGGACGACCAGCCACACUGGAACUGAGACACGGUCCAGACACCUACGGGUGGCAGCAGUCGAGAAUUUUUCGCAAUGGGGGAAACCCUGACGGAGCGACGCCGCGUGGAGGAUGAAGGUCUUCGGAUUGUAAACUCCUGUCAUUGGUGAACAAAGUACUGAGGUUAACUGCCUUGGUGCCUGCUAGUAGCCGAAGAGGAAGGGACGGCUAACUCUGUGC
rnacentral:rRNA from 1 species